AACAAACGCUGGCGGCGUGCCUAAUACAUGCAAGUCGAACGGGGAAAGUAGCAAUAUGAGUACUAGUGGCGCACGGGUGAGUAAUGCGUGGGUAAUCUGCCCUCAAGCUGGGGAUAACCGGUCGAAAGACUGGCUAAUACCGAAUGAGACCACAAGAACUGAGGUUCUAGGGGUUAAAGGUUUUUCGCUUGAGGAUGAGCCCAUGUGGGAUUAGCUAGUUGGUGAGGUAAUGGCUCACCAAGGCGACGAUCCCUAACUGGUCUUAGAGGAUGAUCAGUCACACUGGAACUGAGACACGGUCCAGACUCCUACGGGAGGCAGCAGUAGGGAAUAUUGCGCAAUGGGGGAAACCCUGACGCAGCGACGCCGCGUGAGUGAUGAAGGCCUUCGGGUCGUAAAGCUCUGUCGUAUGGGACUAACAAAAUGAAGGUACCAUGCAAGAAAGGAUCGGCUAACUUCGUGCCAGCAGCCGCCGCGG
rnacentral:rRNA from 1 species